rnacentral:rRNA from 1 species
GGCGGACGGGUGAGUAACGCGUAAGGAACUUGCCUCUUGGUCUGGGACAACUGUUGGAAACGACAGCUAAUACCGGAUAUUAUGAGAUUCUCGCAUGGGAAACUUAUGAAAGCUAUAUGCGCCAAGAGAGAGCCUUGCGUUCCAUUAGCUAGUUGGUGGGGUAACGGCCCACCAAGGCGACGAUGGAUAGCCGGCCUGAGAGGGUGAACGGCCACAAGGGGACUGAGACACGGCCCUUACUCCUACGGGAGGCAGCAGUGGGGAAUAUUGGACAAUGGGCCACAAGCCUGAUCCAGCAAUUCUGUGUGCACGAUGAAGGUCUUCGGAUUGUAAAGUGCUUUCAGUUGGGAAGAAGAAAGUGACGGUACCAACAGAAGAAGCGACGGCUAAAUACGUGCCAGCAGCCGCGGUAAUACGUAUGUCGCAAGCGUUAUCCGGAUUUAUUGGGCGUAAAGCGCGUCUAGGCGGAAAAAUAAGUCUGAUGUUAAAAUGCGGGGCUCAACUCCGUAUUGCGUUGGAAACUGUUUUUCUAGAGUACUGGAGAGGUGGGCGGAACUACAAGUGUAGAGGUGAAAUUCGUAGAUAUUUGUAGGAAUGCCGAUGGAGAAGUCAGCUCACU